rnacentral:rRNA from 2 species
AAAUUGAAGAGUUUGAUCAUGGCUCAGAUUGAACGCUGGCGGCAGGCCUAACACAUGCAAGUCGAACGGUAACAGGAAGCAGCUUGCUGCUUUGCUGACGAGUGGCGGACGGGUGAGUAAUGUCUGGGAAACUGCCUGAUGGAGGGGGAUAACUACUGGAAACGGUGGCUAAUACCGCAUAACGUCGCAAGACCAAAGAGGGGGACCUUCGGGCCUCUUGCCAUCAGAUGUGCCCAGAUGGGAUUAGCUUGUUGGUGAGGUAACGG